GGAACGAUCACUGAGGGGAGGAUAACGUCCUCAUGAUUGGUGAGUGCACAAAUGGUUAACAACUUUAUAUUGAUUACAUAUAUUUUUAUAGAAAUUAGGUAUUGGACAUUUCAUAUUAAUGGCCAGUUUGGUAAAAUGAAGAUUUUCCCUACACUUUGUACAAAAAAAAACAUGUAGGCACAAUAGUACCUUUCGAGAACCUGUUAUUUUUGGGGAAUUCAGACUUUAUAGUUUUUUAUAAACAGAAAUAGGAUUUUUAAAGGAGAGGUUGAAAAAAUAUACCCUUUUUUUUACUCUAAACUCCUGUCCUGCUUUUUUUCCCCAAAUUUCAACCCCCCUUUUUUCAAUAUAAAAACAAUUAGUAACUCCCCUUAUUGAUGUAUUCGGCUUCAACAACUUCUUGGACUAACUUCAAUAGUUCAUGUCAUAUACUGUAAGGGACGACAUCAAAAGUUCAAUGUAAGAAAAAAAGUUAAUUUGCAUUGAUUUUUUCACUGAAACCUUAACUUAAUUUGGGAAAAAUUGAUUGAUCAAUAAGGAUUUAUGUACAAUCGAUGUCAAAUAAUCAAACAAACAAAACU
rnacentral:lncRNA from 1 species